rnacentral:lncRNA from 1 species
AUGCCAAAAGUAAAAGUUUCUGGAUUAGAAACUGACAUAAACAAGUCUGGAAAAAUGGAUGCCAAAUUUCUAAAAGGAGGAACUGAUGCAAACUUGAAAGCUGAUUUACAAGCACCAAAGAUUCCCGACUUUGAAAUUGAGACUGCCCAAGCUGACACUAAUAAUUCUGAUGAAGAUAAAAAGCAGACUGGUAAAGUCAAAAUUCCAAAGUUUGGGAUUCCUCUGCCUUCUUUAAGUUCACCUGAAGCCAACAUCAAAUCAUCUCAGGGAAAAGGUCACUCGAUAAACAUAGACUCCAAGGUAGAGUAUGAAAGCCCACAUCUGCCAAAAGUAACAAAAGCUGUUUUUGUUAUGGUGAAUCCACAAAUGGAGAGCUCUGCUAGUGUAGGUGGUGAAGCAAGUGCAGAAAUUGGAGAUGUGAAGAUCAAACAGCCAAAGAUCAAAAUGAAGCCAAGUUUUGCCAAGUCUCGAUCAAAUGAAAAGGGGAAAGCAAUAUAUUGCGAAGAUGAGGUGGAAACUGAGGGUAAGUCCAAAACGGGUAAGAUUAAAUUGCCCAAAGUCACAUUCUCGUCUGGGCAGAGAGGAUCAUUUGAUGUAACACCAAGUGGAUCUGAUGAUGGAACAAGUCCAAGUCUAAAUGGUGACAAAGAUGAAAAACUAAUGUUUGGAAAGCUUAAAUUGCCUAAAGUGGAGUUUUUCUCACCAUACUCAAAAAAUGUAAGUGAGGAAGAGGAAAUGGAAACAAGCAUGAAACUCAGGAAGGAGAGCUCAGAAGAAAGCAAAGAGAGCAAGGAGUUAAAGACAAUAUCAGGCACAAUGUCUUUCACAGGUCUCAAGAAGAAAACAGAGAAGGAUGAGGAGGUGAGAAAGAUUAGUACUAUAGUGUCCUCAAAAGCAAGGACUGAAAUGUUGGCAGAACGGGAGGGAUCAGAGUCUCCAGUACCCACAGUAUCAUCUGGAUUCGUCUCUGUAAUGAAGUGUGAAGAAAGAGAGGAGACGACAUGGUUCAAAGUACCCAAGGUCACCCUUAGUCCCCAUUCUACUGACAUCCUUCAUAUCACACCAGAAAGCUCUCCAAAAGGAAGCAAGUCUUCUCUUCCUUGUUCUAGCGAGGGAGCCUCAGGAGGUUUCUAUGUGAAGAUGCCAAGUGUAGAAUUUUUGACCCAUGAAAUGCCCUCAGAGCAUCUGAUUACUAAAACAGAGGGAACUCUUACUGUAGUGACUAAGACGACAAAGUAUACAGAAACAAAAGGUUUUUUUCUAUUCAAGGUAAAGAAAGCAAACAUAUUUUCUCCAGUUUUUGCAAGAAAAACAUAACUUAUACAAAAUGAAAAUGUUGCUACAAAAAGAAUAUUAUUUAUUUUAGACAUUAUUUUAUGUUUUAUUUAUUUUAUUUUAUUAUUUAUGUUUUUUAACUUGCCACUCGGUAUGACACUUUAAAUUGAUAAAGAUCACAUAUAUUUACACAAAAAUAUUUAGUUGUAGAUAAAAAAACAACAACAUAGGCACAAAUAUGUAGAACAGACAGAUGCAAAGAUAUUUAAAAACAUCACAUUUUAACAUUUUCUUAUGAUUUUCUUGUGCAGUCUUGCAUGACAUUUAUGCUGGAGAAUUACAGCAUUUUGGUAAUAUUGCUUUGGUUUUUCGAUGCCUGGUUUGUCUCUGUUAUGGAAUUUUGUUUAUUUUAGAUACUGUUAGAAAUACGUGUACUAUUUUUACAUAUUUAUAUGCAUGAUCUGUACAGAUAAGACACUAAAAAGAAACCCUGUAAUGUAGAGUAUUUUUGUGAUACAUAUUUUUGUGACUUAAAAAAAAUUUUCAAUCACAUUUUCUAAGGAUUGUGACAUGCUGCACCAGAAAGCAUUCCUCUGUUCAGGAGAAAUGCUCUGAAUUCUUAUGAAUUGAAAACACUGAGUGUGAAAUAUUUUUCUUUUACUUUCUUUUUAAAAUUAACUCUUGUGUUGGUGAUGGAAUUAGCCUACAUGCGGGCAAUAUAUCAUUGUAAAUAUACUAUAUUUAAGGCAGGUUUAAUUACGAAAAUGCAUGUUUGUAAUGUGUUUUUUUUUUUUUAAAUAAUCAUUUAGAUGAUGCUUAUCUCCAUCUAAUGGAAAAAUAGAACAGUCAAAUAAAAUAUUACAAUUCUAAUUAGUUGGACAUAAUUAUUUCCUGAUUUUUUCCACUGAUUUUUCUACUGUGGCAGCACUAAUGACGAGUACUGGUCCAAUUCUGAAACUGACAUGGCAAGAAAAAUGUACAAACAGGAGCACACAGCCUUCCCAAGAUUGCAAUAUACAGUAUUGAACAUAUCUAAAAUGUAUCAUGAUUGAUGAAAAAUACAUCCAGAUGAAACUACUUUAUACAAACAUAAAAAAAUACAUUUGAUCAUAAUUUACUCAUCACACGUUAUUCCAACUCCUUAUUUACUUUUCUCUACAUUGAAAACAGACAUUUUGAAUAAUGUAUUGGUUGUCUCACAUGAAACAGACAUUUUGAAUAAUGUAUUGGUUGUAUUUGUCCAAGUAAUUACAAUGAAAGAAGCCUGGAGCAUUCAAGUCUUUAACAAAACAAAAACACCAUAAAUGCAUCAUUAAAGUCUCAUAAAAGAGUCCAUUCCUUGUCUGUGUUUUAUACACAAAUGUCUUCUGAAAAAUAAAGAUCAUUUCCCUUUUUAUUUUCCACUGAGGAAAUAAAGGCAGGUUUGGAACAACACCAGGGUGAGUAAAUGGUGACAAUUUUCAUUUUCUGUGAACUAUGUGUAUUGGACAAAAAAAAUGAAAUUAAAAUAGUUUGCACAUGAAUGAUUCCGAUUAGAAUUAAAGUGCUUACUGUAUAAACAUAGAUCACCAUGUUAUUAACACAAAAUUAAUUCAUCUUUAAAUUGAGUUUCUAUAGCCUACCAAUUAUGUCUAAACGAAGUCGAGCAAAAGAGUGAGUGCAAGAGGGUUUCAAAAGUAGCCUAUACUCACCAGAACUGGCUGAAGAGCUAAAUGAAAAAGCUUUAAUGAAGUAAUGUGUUCCCGCGUGUGCGUGUCCUCCGUGCGUAAGCGUAAAAGCACCGACAGCGUGCUGCACGCUCCGCUAUUGGUCAGCUGAGCGCACGCACUAGAUUGCGGAGGCUCUGCGUUGCAUUGCCAGUGAAAGCAGCUGCGCUAUUAGGAGACACGGGGGAGUAGCGUGACGUUCACUUCAACGGAGCACAUGAGACGUACAUGGGAUAUAAUAGGUUACACUAUAUCUACGGUGGUCUGUGUUCGGAUAUGCAGUCUUAAAACGAAGUGGUGUGAUGGAUAUCAUUUCUAGACGCUCCAAAAUCCUCAUGAAGGUUAAAGCCAAAAUCCUUCAGCCCAGCAGCAUCUUCUCAGCGUACGACAGCUGCAGUUGUGUGAUUCGUGACAUCGCAUCCGUAUGAGGAAAAUGACUGGCACACUGUAAAGGUAAGAGGAUACAAAGAAAGAAAGAUGGGUUAUUUAUGAUAUCCCGAAAAAGAUGGAUAUUAUUUCGUCAAACCACGAAAAGAAUCGAUGCAGAUAAUUCCCCCUCCCCGAGGUUACCUCACAAGAUACAUCUGUGUGGGCAAGUCCUAUUAGUUAAUGAUAGACUCCCGAUUUGGUGCAAGUGAUGUGAUCACGUAUUGUGUGUGUAGACUACGUAACGCGGCGUCCUCUGAUCAUCGUGACACAGUUUGUGACAUGCGAAAUAAAACAUGAGAGAAAAAAAUAUUAUACAUUUAUGAUACAUUAUACAGUAACUUAAGUAUUAAAUACACUAGCUCUUAAUAAAAUACACAUUAUCAAAUAAAACAAUCAUGUACAUAUGUUAUAAAUGUAAUACAUUAACUACAUAUAAAAUAUAGGAAUAAUCGUAUUAAGUAGCCUAGAAAUAGAACGAAAAAAGAACUGUCUUUUCGUGGUUUGACAUGACAGUAUCCAUUUUUUUAUAUAUGGUUUAAAAAACUAAGAGUAUAAAAAUAAAAUUGCAUUAUAAAUACUGAAUAUUUAUUUUAUUUAAUAUUAUUACAUUUCAUAGUUAUAUAAUUGUGAUAUACAUUAAACUACAUAAAAUACAAAUACUAUACUAUAAUACAAAAUUAUAGAAUAUACAGUAAUUGUAGUAUAUACAAGUAUAUUACAGUUUGUGUGUGUAUAGACAUUAUAGAAUAUAUAGUUUAUAGAAUAUUAAUUUAAAUCUAAGACAAUUUGACAUGACCUUAACAAAUAUUUGAGCCUGCACUUGUUACUUGUUUUGUAUUGACCUUUAAUUGUCAAGAAUACAAAUUACAAAACUGUAGUAAAUAAUUGUAUACAAGUUGUAUUACAGUUUUAAAAAAUAUUACAAUACAUAUUACAGUUUUAAGUAUUGCAAGAAAAUUGUGUGUGUGUGUGUGUGUGUGUGUGUGUGUGUGUGUGUGUGUGUGUGUGUGU